rnacentral:rRNA from 1 species
UACGUAGGGGGCGAGCGUUGUCCGGAAUUACUGGGCGUAAAGGGCGUGUAGGCGGUUUGUCAAGUCAGGUGUGAAAUCUUAAGGCUCAACCUUAAGACUGCGUCUGAAACUGACAGGCUUGAGGGCAGGAGAGGAGAGCGGAAUUCCCAGUGUAGCGGUGAAAUGCGUAGAUAUUGGGAGGAACACCAGUGGCGAAGGCGGCUCUCUGGACCGUACCUGACGCUGAGGCGCGAAAGCGUGGGGAGCAAACAGGAUUAGAUACCCUGGUAGU